rnacentral:rRNA from 1 species
GACAUAGGUUGCGAACGUUAUCCGGAAUUAUUGGGCGUAAAGGAUGCGUAGAUGGUUUGAUAAGUUAUCAGUGGCAAAUCGGGGCUCAACCUCGUGGAAGCUGGUAAUACUGUUAUACUCGAGUGCAGGAGAAGUUAACGGAACUCUAUAUGGAGCGGUAAAAUGUGACGAUAUAUAGAAGAACACCAAUAAGGCGAAGGCAGUUAACUAUUCUGUUACUGACAUUGAGGCAUGAAAGCGUGGGGAGCAAAACGG